GACGAACCGUGCAAACGUUAUUCGGAAUCACUGGGCAUAAAGGGCGCGUAGGCGGCUCCAAAAGUCAGGGGUGAAAUCCGGCAGCUUAACUGUCGCAGUGCCUUUGAUACUGUGGAGCUAGAGGGAGGUAGGGGUCUGUGGAACUUCCGGUGGAGCGGUGAAAUGCGUUGAUAUCGGAAGGAAGACCAGUGCGAGGACGG
rnacentral:rRNA from 1 species